GUCAUAGGUACUUGAGUAUCUUUCCUGUGAAAGGACACGUAAAGACGGCAAGGGCCUGUAGUCCCAGCUAUUCAGGAGUUCCAGACUGUAGUGUGCUACGCGGAUCAGGUGUCCACACGAAGUGCCGUAUCAGUAUGGUGACCUCCAGGGAGUGGGGUGCCACAAGGUGGUCUGAGAAGGGGUGAACUGGCCCAGGUCGGAAAUGGAGCAGGGCAAAACUCCUGUGCGGUUCAACCACAGGAUCGUGUCUGUAAACAGCCAUGGCACUCCAGCCUGGACAACAUGGAGAGAGCCCAUAU
rnacentral:SRP_RNA from 1 species